rnacentral:lncRNA from 1 species
AUUAUUUGUGAAGGUAUUGCCUACAGAAUAUAUUAAAUAGCAGAUUCCACUAAUUCAUAGAGAUUGGUUUUCUCAUUCACAGUUACUUUUUUUCACCCUCCUUUUCAGGAAAGCAUUGCUUGCCUAAAGUAAGGUUUACUUGUGCUAACUUACAAAUUAGAAGGAAGGAGCUGGAACUAAAUAAAAUGUUAAGUUCUGAUG